rnacentral:rRNA from 1 species
UACGAGGGGGGCGAGCGUUGUUCGGAAUUAUUGGGCGUAAAGGGUGCGUAGGCGGUUCGGUAAGUUUCGUGUGAAAUCUUCGGGCUCAACUCGAAGCCUGCACGAGAUACUGCCGGGCUUGAGUGUGGGAGAGGUGAGUGGAAUUUCCGGUGUAGCGGUGAAAUGCGUAGAUAUCGGAAGGAACACCUGUGGCGAAAGCGGCUCACUGGACCAUAACUGACGCUGAGGCGCGAAAGCUAGGGGAGCAAACAGG